GAAAAGACUCAGAAUGGAUGGAAGUUGUUUAUAAAUUCUCCUCUGCUGCAUACUGUUAAGAAGGGGAAAGAGGAGUGCUGGACUCACCCUGAAUUCUUUCUUACGCGAGAUCCAAGAAUUGUCUCUUGGGGUCUGUGCUGGGACUGCUUUCCUGUAACAUAUUUCUGGCGUCCACAGAAGGGACUAUAGUGAGGAAACCACUGACUUUGGGUAAGUGGUGGGGUCCUGUAACAUAUUCACAAGUUCUUUGAUACUCCUUCCUUCAAAAGGUGAAGCUCUCCCUUUCAUAAAACAUGGGCUGAACUUAGGGACUUGCUUUAAAUUAAUAGAAUGAUGGUAUGUGAUGUCUGAGGCUGAUCAUAAAAGGAUAGUUUCUGCUAGAUGUUUUCUGUCUUUUAAAAAAAUAUUUAAAUAUUGAUUUGUUUAUUAUUUUCAGUCCAAAUCUGUUUCAGCCUAUGUUCUGUCUCUCAGAUCACUCCCUGCAGGUGAAGCCAACUGCCAUGUUGUGCAGAGGCUCCAGCCUCCCGUGGAGAGGCCCACACGGAGAGGAUCUGCCAUCGCCAGCAGGAGCUUUCCAGCCAUGUGAGUGACUUCUUCUGGAAAUGGAUUCUCCAGCCCCAGUUAACAGCAUUCCGAUUGUUAACCAAAAAGUGACUGAGGCCAUUAGAGGUUUAUUUAGCCAAGGUUGAGGAUGCACCCUGGACAAACAGAAAUCGGAGGAGCAUCUGUGAUCUCUGCUUUUCUCCAAAGGGGGCUUUGUGUGCACUUUGGUUUUUAAAGGAGAAAGAGCAAGGAGUGGGAGGCAGGAGAGGAAGGGAGGGAGAUAUGCAGUGAGGUAGAUGGUUACAUUCUUGUGAAGCCCUGAUUAGUCUCAAUAAAUCCAAAUUUUAGGCGGGGCACAGUGGCUCAUACCUGUAAUCCCAGCACUUUGGGAGGCUGAGGCAGGUGGAUCACUUGAGGCUGGGAGUUCCAGACCAGCCUGGCCAACAUGGCAAAACCCUGUCUUUACUAAAAAUACAAAACUUAUCUGGUGUGUAGCUGUAAUCCCAGCUACUCAGGAUGCUGAGGCAGGAGAAUCGCUUGAACCUUGGAGGUGGAGGUUGCAGUGGGCCAAGAUUGUGUCAUUGCACUACAGCCUGGGCAACAGAACAAGACUCUGUUUCAAAAAAAUCAGUCAAUCAAUCAAUCAACAUUAUACAUGUGAAAAGAGGGAGUAGAGGAAAAAGUCAAUUAUGUAUUAUCUCCCUCUCAGUAAAUCUACAUUUUACAUAAGAUAAACAUGAAAAGAGGGAGUAGAGGAAAUGAGCUCAUGGUUUGGGUUGUGAAAUUCCAGCUGUCUGUUUGGGAACAAAAGGAAGACAGUAUUGGUGGCUCAAUUCCCAAGCUUAACUUUCCCUUUGGCAUAGUGAGUUUGGGGUCGCAUAAUUCUAUUUUUUUUUUUCAUAAGAUGAUUUCUGGCAUGGGAGACACUGAACCAUAACCACCCAGCUAAGCUGCCCCUGGAUUCCUGACCUGCAAGACAUGAAGUGAGAUAACAAAUGGUGUUGUUGUAAACCUUACCAUUUCUGGGUAAUUCAUUGUGCAGCAGUAGAUAACUGAUACCAGACCCUUCACUGAGUCUUUUGGGCUUGAAAUGGAGAGAGUCAGGCUAAUUUGGGAUCUGGGAUCUCUUGGCAGACAUUAUUUCCUAUCAUAAAGAUCAGAAUGCCAGAAGAAGCCAGUUUCCAAGCAAGAGAGGGCAAAAUGAGAGAGGGAGAGUGGGAGAGAGAAAGAGAGAAGAGAAUAGAGAGAGAGAAGACUGGGGUGUGUGUGUUAUUUCUACCUUUUUUUGGGUGACAAAACCCAGAUUUACCUUUGCAGGGAUGACUCUUUUCCCACUCUGUGUUCAUUUGGUUCGAUAGAUCUGGCUGCACGCCCUCGCUUCCUGGGUGAUUAUGUAAUUUACAUAGUUUUAGCACCAAUAUGAAGUAGUUUCUGAAGCUAGCCUCCGGGGUUUUCAGUUAUCUGAGCCAGUAUUUCCUCCCUACUUUUUUUUUUGCUAAACUUGGUUUGACUUGAGUCUCACAAGUGAAAGCGACUUCAUUGAAACAGGAGCAGAGAGAAGCAGCAGAUAGAGAUUAAGAAAUUUCUUGAGAAUGUACAAAUUCCUGGAUCCAGCUGUUCCCAAAACCCAGGCAAAUCCUGCCUUCAAUAACAACAGCCGGACAGCAGCAACAGCAAACAUUUAUUGAAUACUUAUAAUGAAUUCCACCUUUGGCUAAUUUAGUUUCUCCCAUUCGCAAUCAAGAAAGUCUUGAAGAAUACAAUAUCCAUUGCAAAAAUAUCUGGAAAGGGAGAUAAUGUGCCAAGGGAAGCAAAAUAAAUCAAGGUUUACAAAAAGACAAAAGUGAAAGAUCACGCAAGACCAUAACUGUGUCAUGUGUAAAUUUCACCUAGGCCUUCUCUGUAUUUAGGGCACCCUGUGACAGGGACCUCAGCCCCAUAGGGAGAUCUCAAUGGAUUAGAUGCUAAGCUGAUGCAGGCUUGGGGAGUUGCCAGAGAAACCUAAGCAAGGCAUACAUCUAAAAGCUUUCUGAAUAGUUAAAAUUAGGUCCUAAAUCUAUCUUCUUAUUAAGAAUGACAGGGAUGGGCCGGGUGUGGUGGCUCACACCUAUAAUCCCAGCACUUUGGGAGGCUGAGGCAGGCGGAUCACUUGAGAUCAGGAGUUCAAGACCAGCCUGGUCAACAUAGAGAAACCCCAUCUCUACUAAAAAUACAAAAAAUUAGCGGGGCGUGGUGGCACAUGCCUGUAAUCCCAGUUACUUGGGAGGCUGAGGCAGGAGAAUCACUUGAAUCUGGGAGGCAGAGGUUACACGGAGCCAAGUUUGUGCUAUUGCACUCCAGCCUGGGCGACAGAGUGAGACUCCACCUCAAAAAAAAAAAAAAAAAAAAAAAAGAAUGUUAGGGAUGGAAGAUGGUGUUGGAAGGGGGAUGUUUUUAAAUUGAGAAACCAUAUUCCUUAUGUAUUCUUUUUUUUUUCUCUUAGGUUUUUUCCUUUUUUGCAUAGAAUACGAAGUUCAAGUUCUGUUGUUGUUGUCUUUGUUGUUGUUUUGAGACGGAAUUUCACUCUUGUUGCCCAGGUUGGAGUGCAAUGGUGUGAUCUUGGCUCACUGCAACCUCUGCCUCCCAGGUUCAAGUGAUUCUCCUGCUUCAGCCUCCCAAGUAACUGGGAUUACAGGCAUGCACCACCACGCCCAGCUAAUUUUUUGUAAUUUUUUUUUUUUUUUUUUUUUUUUUUUUUAGUAGAGAUGGUGUUUCUCCAUGUUGAUCAGGCUGAUCUUGAACUCCUGGCCUCAGGUGAUUUGCCUGCCUCGGCCUCCCAAAGUGGCGGGAUUACAGGCGUGAGCCACUGUGCUUGG
rnacentral:lncRNA from 1 species